GGAUGCGAUCAUACCAGCACUAAAGCACCGGAUCCCAUCAGAACUCUGAAGUUAAGCGUGCUUGGGCGAGAGUAGUACUAGGAUGGGUGACCUCUUGGGAAGUCCUUGUGUUGCAUUCC
rnacentral:rRNA from 1 species